GAUCAUGGCUCAGAUUGAACGCUGGCGGCAUGCUUUACACAUGCAAGUCGAACGGCAGCGCGGGGAGCUUGCUCCCUGGCGGCGAGUGGCGCACGGGUGAGUAAUACAUCGGAACGUGUCUUCUAUGGGGGAUAACUGCCCCGAAAGGGCAGCUAAUACCGCAUGAGACCCUGAGGGUGAAAGCGGGGGAUCGCAAGACCUCGCGCUGGAAGAGCGGCCGAUGUCCGA
rnacentral:rRNA from 1 species